GUUGGAUGUUAUGAACUAAAUGUUUGUACUCCACUGAAAUUCCUAUGUUGAACCCAUAGCCCAUACUGUGAUGGUACAUAAAGAGAAGAGAUGUAUAUUGGUAUCUAUGUGGAGAAACUUGACAUUCUAACUUCAAAAACAAAGACUGAAAAUUGACCAGCUUAAGCUUCAGUUUUCAUCCCUUGUCUUAAAUCUAGGAGCAUGCUUGUUACCUACUCACAAAAGUCUCCUUUUUCCUAAGCAAUCCACAAAUUCUACUACCUGUAAGAGAAAAAAAAUCAUGUUAAUACCAACAACAUUAAUAAUACUCUACAAAACUAAUAUCUCCCCGUGGCUCCCCACUGCCUUUCUUAACAACUCUUACCCUUAAUCUGCCAAGCAACAGGAAAUCUCUUUGCCUCUGAUAAAUGUUCCAGAUUGAGGCAUUAGAAGAAAUGAGGGAGAUCUGAUGAUACUCAGAACCAGUUUGCCAGGUGGAACUGCAGUUUUCAGACAUGGGGAUGUAGCCAACUAAUCUAUGAGGUAACAAUGUCAUCCAGUUUUGAAAGUAGAUGUACCUUUAAUGUUCUGGGAGCUGCUUACUCUUUCUUAGCCCAUUCUGGCUCAGCAGUUCUGAAAAUGUGUUCCCUGGGAACACAGUAUCAACAUCACUUUUGAACUUGCUUUAAAAAAGAAAUAAAUUCUUGGGUCUGACUCCUAGUCUCACAAUCUCAAAAACCUACUAGGGAGCAAUCAGGAAUUGAUGUUUCCAUAGGGCAAGUCUGAAUCACACUGAGGUUUAACCACCUUUGGGGUAGGUAUAAACCUGGACUAUAAUCAAAUCCCUCAUCUAAGGAGCUGACUUGGCUUUUCUCAUGGUGACAAAAUACAAGAAAUCCUGAAAUUUUCCUACAGUAGUACAGCCCUUACCCUCUCAUCAUUCACCUGAUGAGAAUUGAAAGGAUCACUGAAGGAAAGCAAGAGACAAAGUGAUGAAGGCUCACAGGAACAUGAUAAAAUGAAGUGUUUCCCCUCUUCUCCUUUGAAAAGUAGGGUGGAAAAGAACACAAAGUGUUCCCACCAAGAAGCCUGGAAGCUUGUCAGAAUCUACAAAUGUUUCUCAAACUUGGUGGUUUCUUUGAGACAUUUGGCUGUUUUGCAAAAAGAACAAAACAAAACAAGACUCUGAUCAAGAAGUAACCAUGACAUGAGAGGUAGGCGUGUGUGUGUGUGUGUGUGUGUGUAUGUGUGUGUGUCCUUGAACAUUUGUAUUCAGUUUUUCCUUGACAUAACUAUGCACAUUGAAAUACUGGCAUUGCCAAAAGCCAGAGCUAUGUCUAUUUCUCCAAUAAUUGACUGUCUCAUGAUGAAAUU